UACGGGGGGGGCAAGCGUUGUUCGGAAUUACUGGGCGUAAAGGGCUCGUAGGUGGCCAACUAAGUCAUGCGUGAAAUCCCUCGGCUUAACCGGGGAACUGCGUCUGAUACUGGAUGGCUUGAGUUUGGGAGAGGGAUGCGGAAUUCCAGGUGUAGCGGUGAAAUGCGUAGAUAUCUGGAGGAACACCGGUGGCGAAGGCGGCAUCCUGGACCAAUACUGACACUGAGGAGCGAAAGCCAGGGGAGCAAACGGG
rnacentral:rRNA from 1 species